CCUACGGGCGGCAGCAGUGGGGAAUUUUCGGCAAUGGGCGCAAGCCUGACCGAGCAACGCCGCGUGAAGGAAGAAGGCUUUCGGGUCGUAAACUUCUUUUGACAGGGAAGAGUAGAAGACGGUACCUGUGGAAUAAGCCACGUCUAACUACGUGCCAGCAGCCGCGGUAACACGUAGGUGGCAAGCGUGGUCCGGAUUUUCUGGGGGGAAAGGUCUGGUAGCCGGGUUGACAAGGCAGAUGUGAAAUCCUGCGGCUUAACCGCAGAAAUGCAUUUGAAACUGUUGAUCUUGAGUACUGGAGAGGCAGACGGAAUUCCUAGUGUAGCGGUGAAAUGCGUAGAUAUUAGGAGGAACACCAGUGGCGAAGGCGGUCUGCUGGACAGCAACUGACGGUGAGGCGCGAAAGCGUGGGGAGCAAACAGGAUUAGAUACCCGAGUAGUC
rnacentral:rRNA from 1 species